UACGGGGGGGGUAAGCGUUGUUCGGAAUUACUGGGCGUAAAGGGCGCGUAGGCGGCCGCCUAAGUCAGACGUGAAAUCCCUCGGCUCAACCGGGGAACUGCGUCUGAUACUGGGUGGCUUGAAUUCGGGAGAGGGAUGCGGAAUUCCAGGUGUAGCGGUGAAAUGCGUAGAUAUCUGGAGGAACACCGGUGGCGAAGGCGGCAUCCUGGACCGAGAUUGACGCUGAGGCGCGAAAGCCAGGGGAGCAAACGGG
rnacentral:rRNA from 1 species